UCUAAACGUCUAAAACCGCUAGAUUCCUGGCACUGACGUUCGGGUGGCAACGGUCACGUGAUCCAGCUCGCGCGCCGACCUAGCAGUUACCGAGCGUUAGUCCGUGUUGCCAUGAAAUAACCACCCGAAUCCGCCAUUAGUUCCAGCACGAUUUUGGCACUUUUGCUUUUUGGCUAAAAAUGGCACACAAGAGUUGUGUUCCGUUCGACGGUUCCAGGAUCCUCAUGACGAAGCACGGACGAGGGCAUCGCUCCCACGAUCGGAAGCACCCAAAUACCCCCGCAGACCUGAAGACGUCGACGACCCGCCAAACAGGUAAUCAGCCCGGAGGAAAAUGUGCCAGGACAGGCCGGAUGUGGGUCACGGGCAAGUUCCCCCUGGCAUUUUCUGGGUCAAACACUGACGCGCCUUGUCUGUGAUGUAACGCGGCGCCAAGUUCAAGGGCAAUAUUUU